rnacentral:misc_RNA from 1 species
UCGAGUUUACAACUCCCAAACCCAUGUGAACCUUACCAUCACGUUGCUUCGGCGGUCACGCCCCGGCGCCCCCGUGCCCGGAACCAGGCGCCCGCCGGAGGACCAUCAAACUAUUGUUGUAUCUAGUGGCAUUGUCUGAGUGGCGUAAAGCAAAUCAAUCA